UAAGGUGGUUAUAGCGAGGGGUUCCACCUCUUCCCAUUCCGAACAGAGAAGUUAAGCUCCUCAGCGCCGAUGGUACUGCGAUUGCGGGAGAGUAGGUCGCCGCCUGUU
rnacentral:rRNA from 1 species